rnacentral:rRNA from 1 species
UACGGAGGGUGCAAACGUUGCUCGGAAUCAUUGGGCGUAAAGCGCACGUAGGCGGUCCCAUAAGUCGGGUGUGAAAGCCCUCGGCUUAACCGAGGAAGUGCAUUCGAAACUGCGGGACUUGAGUACCGGAGAGGGUGACGGAAUUCCCGGUGUAGAGGUGAAAUUCGUAGAUAUCGGGAGGAACACCAGUGGCGAAGGCGGUCACCUGGACGGAUACUGACGCUGAGGUGCGAAAGCGUGGGGAGCAAACAGG